rnacentral:tRNA from 2 species
UGGCGACUGCAGAGGGAUUCGAACCCUCAUCCCACCGCUUAGAAGGCGGUUGCUCUAUCCAUUGAGCUAUGCGAUC